rnacentral:tRNA from 1 species
AGAUCCUAGCUUAAUGAAAGCAUCUGGGUUGCGUUCAGAGGAUGCAGGUUAAUGUCCUGCGGAUUUUG